rnacentral:rRNA from 1 species
UACGCAGGCGGAAAAUUAAGUCAGUGGUGAAAUCCUGCAGCUUAACUGUAGAACUGUUAUUGAUACUGGUUUUCUUGAAUAUAGUUGAGGUAGGCGGAAUGUGUAAUGUAGCGGUGAAAUGCUUAGAUAUUACACAGAACACCGAUUGCGAAGGCAGCUUACUAAGCUAUGAUUGACGCUGAGGUACGAAAGCGUGGGGAGCGAACAGGAUUAGAUACCCUGGUAGUCC